rnacentral:lncRNA from 1 species
UUACCUUUAAUUGAAUUUUCUUAUAACAACAGUUUCCAAACGAAUAUAAAGAUGGCACCGUAUGAAGCUUUAUAUGGUCACAAGUUUUGAACACCGUUAUACUGGACUGAAUUGAGUGAGAAACAAGAUUCACGGGGUUGAGUUAUUGAAAGAAACAUAAGAAAAAUUUAAAGUGAUUCACAACAAUUUAAAAGCAGCUUUAGAUCGACAGAAAUCAUAGUGGAUUUGAAACGUAAAGAAAUAGAAUUUCAGGUUGGAGAUCGAG